rnacentral:piRNA from 1 species
CGCUAUGAUGAAGGCUAUGUUGG